AUUGAACGCUGGCGGCAGGCCUAACACAUGCAAGUCGAACGAGUGGCGGACGGGUGAGUAAUGUCUGGGAAACUGCCCGAUGGAGGGGGAUAACUACUGGAAACGGUAGCUAAUACCGCAUACCAUCGGAUGUGCCCAGAUGGGAUUAGCUAGUAGGUGGGGUAACGGCUCACCUAGGCGACGAUCCCUAGCUGAUCUGAGAGGAUGACCAGCGACACUGGAACUGCGACACGGUCCAUACUCCUACGGGAGGAAGCAGUGGGGAAUAUUGGACAAUGGGCGCAAGCCCGAUGCAGCCAUGCCCCGUGUAUGAAGAAGGCCUUCGGGUGGUAAAGUACUGUCAGCGAGGAGGCGUUACUCGCAGAAGAAGCACCGGCUAACACCGUGCCAGCAGCCGCGGUAAUAC
rnacentral:rRNA from 1 species